UCCGUAGGUGAACCUGCGGAAGGAUCAUUAACAAAUCAGUUAUAUGGCGAAAGCCAUAUAUAUUCACCCUAAGCCUGGGAUUGUACAUUGUACAGGACCGGGCUUUGGUUGGGCUACAUCCCUUGUGGAUGUGGCUCCGGCAAGUACGCUUCGGCGCACUGGCCACAUAGACGCUUGUAUUGUUUGACAGAGUAAUUAUUGCUUAAAAAUGACAACUUUUAACAAUGGAUCUCUUGGCUCUUGCAACGAUGAAGAACGCAGUGAAAUGCGAAAAGUAAUGCGAUUUGCAUGAAUCUGUGAGUCAUCAAGUCUUUGAACGCACCUUGCACCGUAUGAGUAAUCGUACGGUAUACCUGUUUGAGAAUCGUAAAACUCUCUUUCCAUCUUUUUGAUGGGAGACUUGUCGGUUGUGCCCCUCGGGGUACUCUGAUUAAAUGCAGUAGGUCUGGAUCAGGCUAGUGGCCUGGGACACUGUGUGUUAGAGACGUCGCGUUAGCUGACUGUCUUCUCAUAGUGCGUCCUGGGCUAUUAAAGCUGGCAUGGUCAAAGCCUCUACAGGUCGGGGUGGCAUACUUGGGUAUGUGGCUGGACAACCCCCCUUUUUGAUCUCAAAUCAGGGGUAAGGGGCUACCCGGCUGGAACUUAAGCAUAUCAAUAAGCGGA
rnacentral:rRNA from 1 species